rnacentral:rRNA from 1 species
AUUGAACGCUGGCGGUAUGCUUUACACAUGCAAGUCGAACGGCAGCGGGGAGGAGCUUGCUUCUCUGCCGGCGAGUGGCGAACGGGUGAGUAAUACAUCGGAACGUGUCGAGAAGAGGGGGAUAACCACCCGAAAGGGUGGCUAAUACCGCAUAAAUUCUGAGGAAGAAAGCUGGGGACCUAGGAAUAGGCCUAGCGCUUUUUGAGCGGCCGAUGUCGGAUUAGCUAGUUGGUGAGGUAAAGGCUCACCAAGGCGAAGAUCUGUAGCGGGUCUGAGAGGAUGAUCCGCCACACUGGGACUGAGACACGGCCCAGACUCCUACGGGAGGCAGCAGUGGGGAAUUUUGGACAAUGGGGGCAACCCUGAUCCAGCCAUGCCGCGUGUAUGAAGAAGGCCUUAGGGUUGUAAAGUACUUUUGUUAGGGAAGAAAAGUCAGCUGUGAAUAAUGGCUGAUACUGACGGUACCUAAAGAAUAAGCACCGGCUAACUACGUG